GUAUGGCAUGUACCCGAUUGUCUUAAAAUAUUUUCUCCAGAAAUCAUAGAACAGAAGUUUAAUGCUUGCACUGCUUUCUGUGUGGAUUGCAAGUUUGGCUCUUCUGUUACAUAU